CCUACGGGAGGCAGCAGUGGGGAAUAUUGGACAAUGGGCGAAAGCCUGAUCCAGCCAUGCCGCGUGUGUGAAGAAGGCCUUCGGGUUGUAAAGCACUUUCAGUGGGGAAGAAAGCCUUGGGGCUAAUACCCUCGAGGAAGGACAUCACCCACAGAAGAAGCACCGGCUAACUCCGUGCCAGCAGCCGCGGUAAUACGGAGGGUGCGAGCGUUAAUCGGAAUUACUGGGCGUAAAGCGCGCGUAGGCGGUCUGAUAAGCCGGUUGUGAAAGCCCCGGGCUCAACCUGGGAACGGCAUCCGGAACUGUCAGGCUAGAGUGCAGGAGAGGAAGGUAGAAUUCCCGGUGUAGCGGUGAAAUGCGUAGAGAUCGGGAGGAAUACCAGUAGCGAAGGCGGCCUUCUGGACUGACACUGACGCUGAGGUGCGAAAGCGUGGGUAGCAAACAGGAUUAAUACCCGGGUAGUC
rnacentral:rRNA from 1 species